rnacentral:rRNA from 1 species
GAUGAACGCUGACAGAAUGCUUAACACAUGCAAGUCAACUUGAAUUUGGGUUUUUUAACUUAGAUUUGGGUGGCGGACGGGUGAGUAACGCGUAAAGAACUUGCCUCACAGCUAGGGACAACAUUUGGAAACGAAUGCUAAUACCUGCUAUUAUGAUUAUAAGGCAUCUUAGAAUUAUGAAAGCUAUAUGCGCUGUGAGAGAGCUUUGCGUCCCAUUAGCUAGUUGGAGAGGUAACGGCUCACCAAGGCGAUGAUGGGUAGCCGGCCUGAGAGGGUGAACGGCCACAAGGGGACUGAGACACGGCCCUUACUCCUACGGGAGGCAGCAGUGGGGAAUAUUGGACAAUGGACCAAGAGUCUGAUCCAGCAAUUCUGUGUGCACGAUGACGUUUUUCGGAAUGUAAAGUGCUUUCAGUUGGGAAGAAAAAAAUGACGGUACCAACAGAAGAAGUGACGGCUAAAUACGUG